GAGUUUGAUCUUGGCUCAGAUUGAACGCUGGCGGCAUGCCUUACACAUGCAAGUCGAACGGCAGCACGGGAGCUUGCUCCUGGUGGCGAGUGGCGAACGGGUGAGUAAUGCAUCGGAACGUAUCCUGGAGUGGGGGAUAACGUAGCGAAAGUUACGCUAAUACCGCAUAUUCUGUGAGCAGGAAAGCGGGGGACCUUCGGGCCUCGCGCUCUUGGAGCGGCCGAUGUCGGAUUAGCUAGUUGGUGAGGUAAAGGCUCACCAAGGCGACGAUCCGUAGCAGGUCUGAGAGGAUGAUCUGCCACACUGGAACUGAGACACGGUCCAGACUCCUACGGGAGGCAGCAGUGGGAAUUUUGGACAAUGGGGGCAACCCUGAUCCAGCCAUGCCGCGUGAGUGAGAAGGCCUCGG
rnacentral:rRNA from 1 species